rnacentral:tRNA from 1 species
GCCUGGUUAGCUCAGUCGGUAGAGCAUGAGACUCUUAUUGUCAGGGUUGUGGGUUCGAGCCCCUCGUUCGACG